CGUUUCCCCGUGCCCCCGCCCCCGCUACGAGAGUGCGAGGCCGGGCGGAGUGGCGGGGCCUGUCCCCAUGGCAACGGCUGCAGCCAAUGAGGGGGCGGCCUGCGGGGGCCCGGGCCCGGGCCCUCGGUGGGUUUAUCCCCCGCCCGUUUAUGCCGCCUCCUCCAUCUCAGCGCAGUGCGUGGCCCUGAGCAGGGAGCAGCAAGGCCUGGCUCUCCGGAGACGCUAGGCCGGACCGGGACACUGGGAAAGGCUGCAGGCCAGGCCUAACUCCCGCUCGGUUACCCGAAGGGCAAGGCGGACCGUCCCAGGCCGGGUGUAGAGCCUGGGGGUGGGUGCCGUUCCUGCGGGGUCGUGCAGCAGGGAGAAGAGCUAUCUGAGCUGAGCACCCGUGGGCUUAGAAGCAAUAAACCUAUCCUGGACUUAAGCUCGGCCUCAGUCUUUACUGGGAGCAGGAAAACACAGAGCUCUCCCAUGGGCAGUCCAAUAGCCAGGCUGAAUAAAAUAACACUGUGCUGCGUGUGAUGUCCCUGAUUCUGGGGAAGCCACGCACAUCAUUAAUAUUAAGCAGCUGCCAGCCUUAGCAACUGUUAAUAUUUAACCAACUUGCCAUGUGUGUCUCUAGGUAGAAACUCACUCCUGAUCUUAAAUACUCACUUAGUGGUUCGAGUUGGAUCUGCUGAAUGCUGCAGUGCCCGCUGUCCUGGAGCAGGCUUGCUGCGGACUAAAACUGGACGGGGCUAGUUCCGCCUCGGUCGCAGCACCGGGCUCACCGCCGCUUCGUGCUGGAGGAAUCCUAACGCGCUGCCCAAAGGUACCGAGUGGCGACCUGUGAAGUAGCGUGGACAUCUCACGGUGUUUCCUCGCUUUUCGGUGCUGUUAGAAGCGAGGGCAGCAGGAGUGUGUGAGGCCUUCUAAUGCUUGGGUCCUUGUCAACAACGAGCCAAAACGUGUCCUUGCUUCCCGCACACGGCUGAAAUGGCGUGGGUGCAACAGCGAGCUUCAUUAAUGGUCAGCGGAAAAUGCACGAUGAGGUGAGGGAAGCUUAAUUUAUGAGGGAAAAACGGUUGUUGUCUGGGUGUGCCAAUUUCUGCCGAUUUCGGAUUUCUGCUUCUGUGGCAAUGGCAAGGCAAACGUGGGAAAAGGUAGGCUUAGAAUUAUGGAAAAUUCGAAAGUCUUAAGUUCGGUGUUGUCAUUUAACACUAAACUCAACGUGGUUUUAGCAAUUAAGUCACAGCUUAUUUGCAUGCGGUGUUCUUCACCUGUUUUUCUGGCCUUUUCCAUUCGCUGUGAUUUUUUGUAUCAUCCGCCAAUUUAUAAAAUAAACCUUUCAGAGUGCUAGUCCCAAGAAAAGCUUUCAUUUUGGUGAGAUUGAAAUGACAUUUGAAAAUGUUCUUAAAAGCUUUCUUUACCGAGAAGAGUUGAGAUGCCCGGGAUGAUUUAAGCUUACAGAACGUCUCCGUUUCUUGCUGUGGUCUGUGGGCCGCAGCUAUCUUCGUAUCGGUUGUACAAAGGACAUGAGCCAAAACACGGUGGAAAGGAAGUCGUCUAAAGGGAAGAGUGUGUCAAACUGGAAUUUCCCUAAAAUUUAUCUGCCUGCUUGCAGAACCAAAAGUCUAGGUAAGGCAGACUGAAGGACGCACGUGGGAUGGGAGGAAGUGGCAAAGAAUAUAAACAAUUUGCAUCUGCAGCGGUUGCUCAGGGGUCUCCAGCUGCUGCACCUUUGUUCCGAAGACGGGGCAUCAAGUCUGGUUAUUUCUGUGGACUCUGAAGGCCGAAGGGUUAACAGGUAAUCUUCAUCCCCCUGCAGCGCCUACAGGUAAGAACAAGGACAAUAAAAGUGUUAAAAUAAGGGGAGUAACUUAGGCCAUUAUUAGGGCUUAGUUUAGAAAGCUGGCAUAAUAAUUCCAAAGUCAUCCGUUAAGUAACAAGUAAAGCAAUUAGUUUCUGGGGGCUUAGAAUGGAAAAUUGCUGUAAUACAAUGACUUUGUAGAGAAUAUGUCAAGCCAGCUAAAGUAUGAUCGUUUAAUUAUAGUUCUCUACUUGCUUCCUACUGAUCACAGUAUUUUUACUAGGAUUACUUUGUAGUCUCUUUUCCAGGUAACUGAAGAGAUGCCGCAAAGGCUGGUUUUAGACAAGGUCUAAAUACAGUUUAUCACUCCUUGUAACUAUAAAAUGAAGAUAAAACCA